CCUACGGGCGGCAGCAGUGGGGAAUAUUGCACAAUGGGCGAAACCCUGAUGCAGCGACGCCGCGUGAGUGAGGAAGUACUUCGGUAUGUAAAGCUCUAUCAGCAGGGAAGAAAAUGACGGUACCUGACUAAGAAGCUCCGGCUAACUACGGGCCAGCAGCCGAGGGAAUACGUCGGGGGCAAGCGUUAUCCGGAUUUACUGGGUGUAAAGGGAGCGUAGACGGUUUAUCAAGUCAGAAGUGAAAACCCAGGGCUCAACCGUGGGAUUGCUUUUGAAACUGAGAAGCUAGAGUUCAGGAGAGGUAAGCGGAAUUCCUAGUGUAGCGGUGAAAUGCGUAGAUAUUAGGAGGAACACCAGUGGCGAAGGCGGCUUACUGGACUGUAACUGACGUUGAGGCUCGAAAGCGUGGGGAGCAAACAGGAUUAGAUACCCGUGUAGUC
rnacentral:rRNA from 1 species